AUUGAACGCUAGCGGGAUGCCUUACACAUGCAAGUCGAACGGCAGCACGGACUUCGGUCUGGUGGCGAGUGGCGAACGGGUGAGUAAUGUAUCGGAACGUGCCUAGUAGCGGGGGAUAACUACGCGAAAGCGUAGCUAAUACCGCAUACGCCCUACGGGGGAAAGCAGGGGAUCGCAAGACCUUGCACUAUUAGAGCGGCCGAUAUCGGAUUAGCUAGUUGGUGGGGUAACGGCUCACCAAGGCGACGAUCCGUAGCUGGUUUGAGAGGACGACCAGCCACACUGGGACUGAGACACGGCCCAGACUCCUACGGGAGGCAGCAGUGGGGAAUUUUGGACAAUGGGGGAAACCCUGAUCCAGCCAUCCCGCGUGUGCGAUGAAGGCCUUCGGGUUGUAAAGCACUUUUGGCAGGAAAGAAACGUCA
rnacentral:rRNA from 1 species